rnacentral:tRNA from 1 species
GGGCAGGUGGCAGAGCGGUCAAUUGCACCAGACUGUAAAUCUGGCGGGGAAACCCUUCACAGGUUCGAUUCCUGUCCUGCCCA